CCCUCUAACGUGCAUCGUGCUUCCACGCGGACGGUACGUGCGAUGGGCUUCCAAGAGUGCCGGUCAGCUGGGAAUCGGCACCGCGCUGGGACGGCUAGUGAGAACUAGCGGCGAUAACAUUGGAACAGGUGUCCAUAUCGGUUGGCUUCAUGACUGCUCCUGUAACCUGCGAUCAAAAGGAACUAUAGAUCCAAAUGUCACAAUUUCUGCUGUCACUUAAUGACGUCGAUGAAUCCCACGUUUGCCGAAUGAAUGGAAACUACACGAGCCGGCGUGCGCGCGAUCCACCACGAGCCACGAUUUAUACGUGCGCCAAAGAGGCGGGGGACACAAAGUCGAUGACUGACGGUGUCCUCGCCCGUCUUCCUCGCAUAGCCUGGCUGAACCGCAGAAAGAGGAACAAAG